GGGGGCAUGCAUGGGCGGAGCCUGAUGCAGCAACGCCGCGUGAGGGACGACGGCCUUCGGGUUGUAAACCUCUUUUAGCAAGGAAGAAGCGAAAGUGACGGUACUUGCAGAAAAAGCGCCGGCUAACUACGUGCCAGCAGCCGCGGUAAUACGUAGGGCGCAAGCGUUAUCCGGAAUUAUUGGGCGUAAAGAGCUCGUAGGCGGUUUGUCGCGUCUGCUGUGAAAACCCGAGGCUCAACCUCGGGCCUGCAGUGGGUACGGGCAGACUAGAGUGCGGUAGGGGAGAUUGGAAUUCCUGGUGUAGCGGUGGAAUGCGCAGAUAUCAGGAGGAACACCGAUGGCGAAGGCAGAUCUCUGGGCCGUAACUGACGCUGAGGAGCGAAAGGGUGGGGAGCAAACAGGCUUAGAUACCCUGGUAGUCCACCCCGUAAACGUUGGGAACUAGUUGUGGGGUCCAUUCCACGGAUUCCGUGACGCAGCUAACGCAUUAAGUUCCCCGCCUGGGGAGUACGGCCGCAAGGCUAAAACUCAAAGGAAUUGACGGGGACCCGCACAAGCGGCGGAGCAUGCGGAUUAAUUCGAUGCAACGCGAAGAACCUUACCAAGGCUUGACAUACACGAGAACACCCUGGAAACAGGGGACUCUUUGGACACUCGUGAACAGGUGGUGCAUGGUUGUCGUCAGCUCGUGUCGUGAGAUGUUGGGUUAAGUCCCGCAACGAGCGCAACCCUCGUUCUAUGUUGCCAGCACGUAAUGGUGGGAACUCAUGGGAUACUGCCGGGGUCAACUCGGAGGAAGGUGGGGAUGACGUCAAAUCAUCAUGCCCCUUAUGUCUUGGGCUUCACGCAUGCUACAAUGGCCGGUACAAAGGGCUGCAAUACCGUGAGGUGGAGCGAAUCCCAAAAAGCCGGUCCCAGUUCGGAUUGAGGUCUGCAACUCGACCUCAUGAAGUCGGAGUCGCUAGUAAUCGCAGAUCAGCAACGCUGCGGUGAAUACGUUCCCGGGUCUUGUACACACCGCCCGUCAAGUCAUGAAAGUCGGUACACCUGAAGCCGGUGGCCCAACCCUUGUGGAGGGAGCCGUCGAAAGUGGGAAUCGGUAAUUAGACUAAGUCGUACCCAAGGGUAAACCAA
rnacentral:rRNA from 1 species